UGCUACUAUAGCUCAGUUGGUAGAGCAGAGUCUUGAUAAGGCUUUGGUCGUUGGUUCGAAUCCAGCUAGUAGCACCAU
rnacentral:tRNA from 1 species